rnacentral:rRNA from 1 species
UACGAAGGGGGCUAGCGUUGUUCGGAUUUACUGGGCGUAAAGCGCACGUAGGCGGACUAUUAAGUCAGGGGUGAAAUCCCGGGGCUCAACCCCGGAACUGCCUUUGAUACUGGUAGUCUUGAGUUCGAGAGAGGUGAGUGGAAUUCCGAGUGUAGAGGUGAAAUUCGUAGAUAUUCGGAGGAACACCAGUGGCGAAGGCGGCUCACUGGCUCGAUACUGACGCUGAGACGCGAAAGCGUGGGGAGCAAACAGG